rnacentral:snoRNA from 1 species
UGGAGAUGUGGUUCAGUGGUGAAGCACCCCUGGGUUCCAAUCCCUGGUAACAGCAACAACAACAACAAAAACUCAUCUUUUACAACCCAGAACUCAUUGUUCAGGGUGAGUUUUGGUACAUAUAAGAAGAAAUAUU